CGAAAACGAAAUCGGCAAAUUCGCACAUGCGUCGACAGGUUGUCCCAGGGUGCCAGGCCUCUUAGAUUGAGGGUGUGGUUGGGGCAAUUGGACGCGUGGAGGACUAACC
rnacentral:sRNA from 1 species